AAUCUACUCCCUCCGUCUGAAAUUACUUAUCGUAUAAAUGAAUAAAAAUAGGUGUAUCUAAAAUUAAAAUACAUCUAGAUACAUUCAUUCUUGUGAUAAAUAUUUUCGGACGGAUAGUGUAUAAU
rfam:Hordeum vulgare subsp. vulgare, WGS project CAJW01000000 data, contig: morex_contig_1582062